UCAACUGAAACAACUGCAUGAUGUGAGAGAGCGCUGCUGCAGCCAGUAACACUUCUACAAAUGUGUUAAGAGCGUUCUCACACUUGGACUGAACACUCGAGUCCACUCUCAUGACUGCUUCUAGGCUUGUUUGUGGGCGGGGCUUAUAAUCACAGGUUUGCUGUCACACAGAGGAAUUAAUUCUGAGCCAUGGAUCACUUCUGCAAUUCCAUACCUCACUUAUGCGUAUGCAGCUCUGCAGGAGGUUCAUCCUUUUAUUGUUUUUUAUUAGUUUCAUUUGGUUCCAGCACUCAAGCAGCAUGUCAUCAUGGAGGAAAACCUGCAAACGAGGAGCUGUUCUGGUGUAAGAAGAUUUUAGACAGACUUUAAGUAAAGAUUAACUGACAGCAUUAAACUGAACAUGCUGCAUCCACACAGAUCAAUUAAAGAUCAUAUGAGGUACAGUCACUAUGGCAACAAUCAUUCAGCAUCACUACCUGUAAGAUUAAGUCCAGCACUUCCAUAGUGAUAACUCACUGUAAUUAACAAACCUGAAUAAUAAAGACAUCUGAAAGCAAACUCAUCCAGUGUUACAAACUGUAGUGUGUCCAGCCCUGUCACAUUCAACACCCGUAACACGCCUUAUUCACUAUUAACACUUGAUCCUAGUUUAAGUCUUUUAAGCAGCCAGGUGGUUUACCAGUUCUCCCUCUCCUCCUGGGAGUGUGGAUUGACGUUUGGUCCGUCUCCUCCAGCAGAAGUGUUUCAGCUCCAUCUGGAAAAUGACUGAGCCGUGACCCAUUCCAUUUCUUUCCAUCACUAAGUAUGAAAGUGCUUGGUCCAAUUUGCCUCUGAACAGAUGGGGAUCAGUGACCUUUGACCUCUGCCUUUGAGUACAUGAUCAGGCCUCCAAAUUCUCACCUGAUGUCCAGUCUUGAUUACAAGCUCCUUUGCUCCUCUCCGUGUAUCAGUGUAUGUUUUGUAUUUUGUCUGUUUCUCCCUAACAAUGUCCUUGACCUGUGAGAAUUUGUCACUUUUCUCCCCCACAGGAAAAAUAUCCACCUUUGUUCUCCUCCUGUGAUUGUGCAGUAGCUCUGAUGGGGAGACACCGGUGGUUGAGGUAGGAGUAGAGUGAAAGGGUAUGAGAUAAUCACACUCUUUCACAACUCAAAGAGCUUUCCUAUGCUAAUCAGGACUGUGCUAAUAAUGCUAAUCACAUUUCAUCUGGAAUAACUUCAUGUCUAAAUACUAAAGUGAUAAUUUAACUAAAUUCAUUUAUACAUACACAAUGUCAUGACCUUUAAUAUUGUUCACUGUUAAAAUUCACACCAUGUUUUAAGUCAGUCUCAGGAAUCUGACUAAACCACCUGACGCUAACCACCAACCGCUUCAGGGAAAAACACUCCUCUAUUUUAGUUAAAAUGUAAACACUAUAAAAUUACAUGCACACUUUCUUAUUAACUGCUGUAUGUAACAUCUUUUAGUAAAAAGAAAGAAUGAAAGUAACAGUUUCUACUGUAAACCUUUCUAGUGUCUACAUCUUAAAUAAUACAGAUGAGCGUUUCCCCCCAAGUGUCUGAUGGUUACCGUAAAACCCCGUAUAUACGCUCACUCCAGGUUCUACCUUAGACAAAUGAUUUGUGAAAGGACCAUACUGAAACUGUACUGCGUCCCCCUCCCCCACAGCGGGAUUACACAUUAUUCCUCUUUGGGGUUGUUAGAUCUGCUGACCUAAAAGCACUUCAUUAAACUUCUUCUAUCAGAGAGGUUCCAGCACACAGGACUGAUAGAGCUCCAGUACAUCAUAUCUGUAAAGUCAUGUGACUCAUCACAGCAUCAGAAUAGACAAGAAUUCACUGUGAGCUUCACAUCUCAUUACAGCUAAUGGACCAAUCAAAUCAGUCCACAGCUUCAAAACAUCCAAUCAGGCGUGAGUCUGGACCUGCUUUUCUACUGAACUCACAAGUUCAUUACCUCACUAUCACUUUGUCUGAACAGGAACGAUGAUCACACUCUUUGUCGCGCUUUACUCUCUUUUUUCUCUCUGCACAGCUGGAAACACUUCUGACAUCAAGGAGCUUCAUGUGAAAACAGUAAAGCGUGGAGAAGAUGUAACUAUGGAGUGUAGCAUGAGCAAGGACAAAAACAAAAAUAAUUUAGCUUGGUACAGACAGAGUUUUGGAAAAGUGCCUCAGUAUUUUGUAAGACGUUACGGGCAAAGUAAUUACACAUUUGCAGAGCGAUUUAAAGAUAGCCGCUUCAGUAUGACUGUAAAUGACCAGAAGUUUGAUCUCAAAAUUAUCGGAACGAGAGAAGAUGAUGGAGGAGACUAUUUAUGUGGAGAAGUGGAGGGAACUGUACUAAAGUUCACAUCUGGAACACGUCUGCAAUUUGAAGGGUCCAAUGAGGGUUCAAAGAGCAGUGAUGGAAAAGGUUCCAGUUGUCCUGAUCAGAUGCAUGUGCUGGUCUGGCUCUCCAUUUUUAGAGUUGGAGUUCUUGCCUUCAUGCUUCUUAUCUUUCCAAUAAUCCUGAUUGUUUUCAAAUUAAGAUCAAAUUAGAAAUUCAGAUACAAAUGGAAGAAAUACUGAUUUAAGGAGAAAACAGUGUGUUAGAUUUAACUAGAGCUAAUUGCUUAUAUUGUCCGUAUAUUGGAAUGAUUUUGGUCUAACUGUAAUGUGGAGGUAUUUACCAGCCGUACUUACAGCUGCAUUUAAGGGCUCCUGAGAGGCGCAGUACAAAAUCGUUCUCCCUAUUGUCUCGGGGUCUAAUCCUGACCAUGCCACAGACAUCCGUGGCCGGAAGUCCAAGAGAGCAAAAUUGGCCGUGCUCUCUGGGAGGGAGGGACAUACUCUCUCUCCCCUGUCAAUCACGGCAACAC